CGGACGGGUGAGUAACGCGUGGGUAACCUGCCUUGUACAGGGGGAUAACAGUUGGAAACGGCUGCUAAUACCGCAUAAGCGCACGGCAUCGCAUGAUGCAGUGUGAAAAACUCCGGUGGUAUAAGAUGGACCCGCGUUGGAUUAGCUAGUUGGUGAGGUAACGGCCCACCAAGGCGACGAUCCAUAGCCGACCUGAGAGGGUGACCGGCCACAUUGGGACUGAGACACGGCCCAA
rnacentral:rRNA from 1 species